UGGGGAAUAUUGCACAAUGGGCGCAAGCCUGAAUGCAGCGACGCCGCGUGCGGGAUGGAGGCCUUCGGGUUGUAAACCGCUUUUGUUCAAGGGCAAGGCACGGCUUCGGGCCGUGUUGAGUGGAUUGUUCGAAUAAGCACCGGCUAACUACGUGCC
rnacentral:rRNA from 1 species